UGCUUAGACUUUAAUUAAGAUUAAAUCCGCCAGAAAAUUACGGGCGAAAGCCUAAAACUCAAAAGACUUGACGGUAUCCCAACCUACCUAGAGGAGCCUGUUCCAUAAUCGACAACCCACGAUAAACCUAACCACCUUUUGAAACCACAGUCUAUAUACCGCCGUCGACAGCAUACCUUUUAAAAGAACAUACGUAAGCCAAAAAGUAUAAUACUAAUAAGUCAGGUCAAGGUGUAGCUUAUAAGGUGGAGAUAAUGGGCUACAUUAUUUAUAUUAAAUAAAACGAACUAUAAACUGAAAAUAGUAUAAAGGUGGAUUUAGCAGUAAAUUAAACAAGAAAAUUUAAUUUAACACUAGCUCUGGGAUAUGUACACACCGCCC
rnacentral:rRNA from 1 species